rnacentral:rRNA from 1 species
ACCGUAAGGAAUCGUUUGCCACAGUUCCGGCCGGCCGAGUCACUCUCACACGCACAGCUCAGCUCAGCUCACAAGUCACAACACACACGCGACCAAGUGAGCGGCUAUGGCGACGGGAAUGCCGGAGUGCUCCCCGGCCUUGCUGCUGGCUGCCGGCCUCGCCGUGCUAGCGAUCGGCUCGUACCUUGCCGCCAUCGUUGUCGGCCGCGGCGCCGCGCGGUACCCGCCUGUGGCCGGAACGGUGUUCCACCAGGUAUACCACCUCCGGCGGCUGCACGACUACUACACGGACCUGUUCCGCGAGCACGCGACGUUCCGGCUGCUCGCGCCGGGCCGGAGGCAGAUUUACACCUCCGACACGGCGGUGGUCGAGCACAUCCUCAGGACCAACUUCGCCAACUACGGCAAGGGCGCGUCUCACUACGACAAGACGAGCGAUCUCUUCGGAGACGGCAUCUUCACGGCCGACGGCGACAAGUGGAGGCAGCAGAGGAAGAUCGCCAGCUACGACUUCUCCACGAGGGCCCUCCGGGACUUCAGCGGCGGCGUCUUCAACAGGGACGCCGCCAAGCUCGCGCACAUCGUCUCCGGCAACGCAGCCGCGAAGCAACCCAUGGACUUUCAGGAGUUGCUGAUGAAAGCGACGAUGGACUCCAUCUUCACCAUCGCCGUCGGCGUGGACCUCGACACGCUGUCGGGGUCGGACGAGGGGAGCCGCUUCGCCGCGGCGUUGGACGACGCCAGCGAGUUCACCCUGCUCCGUUUCGUCAACGCCUUCUGGAAGGUGUCGAGGUUCCUCAACGUCGGCGCCGAGGCGGCGCUCAGGCGCAGGAUUGAGGUCGUCGACGAGUUCAUGUACAAGCGCAUCCGUGCCAGGGCGGACGAGAUAUCGGACGACGGCGAGGCACACGACACUGUUAGUAUGUUACGCUUGAAACCGAAGCUCAGGUUUUCCUUGACGUUGGUGACUCACUUGACAGGUGUCCAAGGAUGAUCUGCUGUCGAGGUUCAUACAGGCAAGCACCCGCGACGCCGGCGAGGUGGACUACAAGCACCUGAGAGACAUGAUACUGAACAUAGUCAUGGCCGGCAAGGACACGACCGCCGGAGCGCUUGCCUGGUUCCUGUACAUGAUGUGCAAGCACCCGGAGGUCCAGGAGAGGAUAAGCGAGGAGGCUGCCGACGCCGGCGAGGCCACGUCAUCGAUCGACGACUUCUCCCGGAGCCUCACCGACGAGGCGCUCAACAAGAUGCACUACCUGCACGCCGCCCUGACGGAGACGCUCCGGCUGUACCCUUCGCUCCCGCUGGAUAACAAGGAGUGCUUUUCCGACGACGUUUUGCCCAACGGCCUCAGCGUCGGCAAGGGAGACAUCGUGUUCUACGCCCCCUACGCCAUGGGCAGGAUGGAGCGGCUGUGGGGCGAGGACGCCAUUGCCUUCCGACCCGAAAGAUGGCUCGACGAGCGCGGCGAGUUCCUGCCGGAGAGCCCUUUCAAGUUCACGGCUUUCCAGGCUGGUCCAAGGAUCUGCUUAGGAAAGGAAUUCGCGUACAGGGAGAUGAAGAUCUUCGCGGCCGUGCUGCUCCGCUUCUUCGUGCUCGCGUUGCAUGACAAGGAUGCCAGCGUCAACUACAGGACCAUGAUCACGCUCUACAUCGAUCAGGGUCUCCAUCUGACGGCUACGGCCAGAGGCAUCGUGUAGCCACCUUUGUACUCAAGAUACGCGUACGUACAUGAUUGAAUAUCUCUUCUUCUUUUUUUGAGACUCGCGAUUGAAUGUCUCAAGUAUUGAAUCUUAGCCCGGACAUGGAAGUGGCUCCGUCUGAACAUAUAUUUUGUGAACUACCUUUUUUUUCACAUUC